rnacentral:lncRNA from 1 species
GGUAUAAAUGUAUUUUUUUUUUCAGGUUUCUCUAUAAGAACUAUAUCUACAAGAUUUGCUGUAGGAAUGAAGAUGGUCCAUGCUCGAGUUUACAACAGGGUACACCUAUUCCAUUUGUAAAUUCAAAUUCUUAUUAGUACUUCCCGCAUUUUCUAGUCAAAUAUGACUUCAUUUGCCCUGAUUUUAAUGGUUUAAAUGUUGCUUUACUGCUAUGUGAUUCUAACUUUAAAUCUUAAAUGUUCACAGCAUUGAUUUAUUUGUUAGUUCCAGGAAACACAGUCAACAUUUAUAUAAUGCCUGCCACAAGGGAAUAGAAAGAUAUAAACUGUAUUCACCUUCUCAACAUAAUCAAGGAUUGGUAGAUUUCCAACAACCAUUGCCGUCAUGGUAAUACAUUCCAAUGAUUUGGUAAGGAGCAUGCGACUUGUAUCUUUAUUAGUAGUUACCAAGAUAACUUUCAGAUAUGGCAUUAUUGAAUCAUAUAUGUACGCAGAGUCUUCCUACAAUAUCCCAGGCAAACGAGGUUUAGAAAACCGGAACAUUGAAAGAAAACAACAGUUGGACCCUUGAUAACAAAAGUACCUGUGAUGAAUUAGCUAAAGAAGCUAAAGUUGCCAGAGCCGCUUCCUUCAUCAUCGUCAUUCCUCUCUGGAAUUC